rnacentral:rRNA from 1 species
UGGAGCCUGCGGUUUAAUCGGACUCAACGCCGGGAAUCUCACCGGAUAAGACAGCUGGAUGAUAGCCGGGCUGAAGACUCUGCUUGACUAGCUGAGAGGAGGUGCAUGGCCGUCGUCAGUUCGUACUGUGAAGCAUCCUGUUAAGUCAGGCAACGAGCGAGACCCACGCCAACAGUUGCCAGCAUGUCCUCCGGGAUGAUGGGGACACUGUUGGGACCGCCUCUGCUAAAGAGGAGGAAGGAAUGGGCAACGGUAGGUCAGCAUGCCCCGAAUUAUCCGGGCUACACGCGGGCUACAAUGGUCAGGACAAUGGGUAUCAACACCGAAAGGUGAAGGCAAUCUCCUAAACCUGUCCUUAGUUCGGAUUGUGGGCUGCAACUCGCCCACAUGAAGCUGGAAUCUGUAGUAAUCGCGUCUCAAAAUGGCGCGGUGAAUACGUUCUCGGGCCUU